rnacentral:lncRNA from 1 species
GUGUGCGUGCGUCCGGGAGCGCGCACUCCGCCCCCGCCCCCUCCCCCCGGCGGCGCGUCCUGUCCCGGCGCGCGCGCGUUCGAAAGUCCUCGCGGGCGGCCCCGCCGCCCCAAGUUAGCCGGAGUUGCUCGUGGCUGCGCGCGGCGCUCGGCUCGGCUCGGCUCUGCUCUUCUCUGCUCGGGGUCUGACUCGGACUCUGCAGCCUUCAGAACCACGAGGACUCUGCCAGUCUCCAGUGCACACGGAGGUACGGGGUGUGGGGGGCGAGGGUUGGUGAGGGGGAGGGUCACUGUGCCCACUGCCCCAGGCCCCCGCCCUCAUCUGCGUCCCAGCUCUGGCAGGGCCCCUGGCUGCUCCCGGCCCCCGGUGGACAGCGGCGGGUUUGCAAGUGCGUCCUGAUGCCCGUGGGGGUCUGGGCUGGCCUGGAAAGUCCGGCCUCUGAUCUGGCCUCAUGCUUCUGCCUGGGGGCCCCCUCACCUUUGGGGUCCUCAUCUCGCAGCAAGGACUUCCAUGGCUCCCUCACUCUUCCAGUUCUAAUCAUCCGGGAGGCACUCUGGGGCGUCCUGGCGGAGGGGUCCCUCCCAGUGUGAGGGGAGCUGGUUCUGGCCCGCCCUGCUGACGAGAAAGCUCUUUGGGUCAAGCUUAACUCUUUUGUCCCAUUACUGCUCACUCCCCUUGGGACUUGGAGACCUGGAUCUGGAAGGGCCCGAGAACCCAUUUUACAGACCCAGAAGGUGAAGGCUCUUGCCAUACUCCCCCACCUCCUGAGCUUCUCGGUUCUCGCCAUGCUCCCCGGCCUUCCAGAGCUACCCUGAGGCCCUCUUCUGCGUGACAGCUGGGAGAAGUC